UGCCAUGCUGAGAAUUUUCCAGAGAUGGAUUGGUGCCUUCGGGUACUCAGACACAGGUGCUGCAUGGCUGUCGUCAGCUCGGUCGUGAGAUGUUAGGUUAAGUCCCGUAACGAGCGCAACCCUUGUCCUUAGUUACCAGCACCUCGGGUGGGCACUCUAAGGAGACUGCCGGUGACAAACCGGAGGAAGGUGGGGAUGACGUCAAGUCAUCAUGGCCCUUACGGCCAGGGCUACACACGUGCUACAAUGGUCGGUACAAAGGGUUGCCAAGCCGCGAGGUGGAGCUAAUCCCAUAAAACCGAUCGUAGUCCGGAUCGCAGUCUGCAACUCGACUGCGUGAAGUCGGAAUCGCUAGUAAUCGUGAAUCAGAAUGUCACGGUGAAUACGUUCCCGGGCCUUGUACACUCCGCUCCGUCUAUUUAUUUCAAAAAAAAGGAGGGA
rnacentral:rRNA from 1 species